rnacentral:rRNA from 1 species
UACGAAGGGUGCAAGCGUUAAUCGGAAUUACUGGGCGUAAAGCGUGCGCAGGCGGUGAUGUAAGACAGAUGUGAAAUCCCCGGGCUCAACCUGGGAACUGCAUUUGUGACUGCAUCGCUGGAGUGCGGCAGAGGGGGAUGGAAUUCCGCGUGUAGCAGUGAAAUGCGUAGAUAUGUGGAGGAAUACCGAUGGCGAAGGCAGCCCCCUGGGAUAACACUGACGCUCAUGCACGAAAGCGUGGGGAGCAAACAGG